rnacentral:rRNA from 1 species
GACGAACGCUGGCGGCGUGCUUAACACAUGCAAGUCGAACGGUGAUGGGUGCUUGCACCUUGAUCAGUGGCGAACGGGUGAGUAACACGUGAGUAAUCUGCCCUUGGCUUUGGGAUAGCCACCGGAAACGGUGAUUAAUACCGGAUACGACCACUUCUCGCAUGGGAUGGUGGUGGAAAGUUUUUUCGGCCAGGGAUGUGCUCGCGGCCUAUCAGCUUGAUGGUGAGGUAAUGGCUCACCAUGGCUUCGACGGGUAGCCGGCCUGAGAGGGCGACCGGCCACACUGGGACUGAGACACGGCCCAGACUCCUACGGGAGGCAGCAGUGGGGAAUAUUGCGCAAUGGGCGAAAGCCUGACGCAGCGACGCAGCGUGAGGGACGAAGGCCUUCGGGUUGUAAACCUCUUUCAGCGGGGACGAAGCGAAAGUGACGGUACCCGCAGGAGAAGCACCGGCUAACUACGUGCCAGCCGCCGCUGUAACAC